UGCUUCAGAGGAGGCUUUUCUGAGGCUGCUGCCAGUGGUCAACGUCUCCAACAAAGCUCUACUAAGUGGCUGCAACCUCUCAGACAGAAGCUGUAAGGCUCUGUCCUCAAUUCUGACCUCCCCGUCCUCUAGUCUGAUGGAGCUGGACCUGAGUAACAAUGAUCUGCGAGAUUUAGGAGCGAAACUUCUGUCUGCAGGACUGGAGAGUCCAUAUUGUACACUGGAAACUCUCAGUCUAUCAGGCUGUCUGAUCACAGAGGAAGGCUGUACUUCUCUGGCUUCAGCUUUGAGCUCCAA